GACGAACGCUGGCGGCGUGCUUAACACAUGCAAGUCGAACGGACAGGCCCUGCUUUUGUGGGGUGCUCGAGUGGCGAACAGGUGUGUAACACGCGUGUAUCCUGCCCUUGUCUUUGGGGUAAAUUCACGGAACUGGGGCUAAUACCGCAUAUGAGCUCCUGCUGCACGUUGUGCGUUGGUAAGUUUCGGCCGUUUUGGCUGGUCUGGCGGCUUAUCAGCUUGUUUGUGGGGUAGUUGCUUACCAAGGCUUCGAAGGCUAGGCGGCAUUGGAGGGGGGCCGGCGUCCAGGGGACUGAGAGAGGGAGCAGUAGGGUAUGGGCCGCAGCAGUGGGGAACAUUGCAGAAUGGGGGGAAGCCUGAUGCAGCAAUGUCGCGUGCGGAAUGACGGCUUUCGGGUUGUGAACCGAUGUCUCAGGUGACGAAGAGGUAGUGACGGUAAUGGGUAAAGAAGCACCGGCUAACUACGUG
rnacentral:rRNA from 1 species